rnacentral:tRNA from 1 species
GCCUUCGUGGUGUAGUGGUCAGCACACUAGGCUCGUAUUCGAGAGGUGCGUGGUUCGAGUCCCGAAGAGGGCA